rnacentral:rRNA from 1 species
AGGAAUAUUGGUCAAUGGGCGAGAGCCUGAACCAGCCAAGUCGCGUGAGGGAAGAAUGGUCUAUGGCCUGUAAACUUCUUUUGUCAAGGAAGAAUAAGGAUGACGAGUCAUUCGAUGCCAGUACUUGACGAAUAAGCAUCGGCUAACUCCGUGCCAGCAGCCGCGGUAAUACGGGGGAUGCGAGCGUUAUCCGGAUUUAUUGGGUUUAAAGGGCGCGUAGGCGGGACGGCAAGUCAGCGGUAAAAGACUGCAGCUAAACUGUAGCACGCCGUUGAAACUGUUGACCUCGAGACGAGACGAGGGAGGCGGAACAAGUGAAGUAGCGGUGAAAUGCAUAGAUAUCACUUGGAACCCCGAUAGCGAAGGCAGCUUCCCAGGCUCGUUCUGACGCUGAUGCGCGAGAGCGUGGGUAGCGAACAGGAUUAGAUACCCUGGUAGUCCACGCCGUAAACGAUGCUCACUGGAUCUUGGCGAUACACGGCCAGGGUUCAAGCGAAAGUAUUAAGUGAGCCACCUGGGGAGUACGUCGGCAACGAUGAAACUCAAAGGAAUUGACGGGGGCCCGCACAAGCGGAGGAACAUGUGGUUUAAUUCGAUGAUACGCGAGGAACCUUACCCGGGUUUAAAUGUAGAUUGCAUGAGGUGGAAACACUUCUUCCCUUCGGGGCUAUUUACAAGGUGCUGCAUGGUUGUCGUCAGCUCGUGCCGUGAGGUGUCGGGUUAAGUCCCAUAACGAGCGCAACCCCUAUCGCCAGUUGCCAUCGGUUCAAGCCGGGCACUCUGUCGAGACUGCCACCGUAAGGUGCGAGGAAGGCGGGGAUGACGUCAAAUCAGCACGGCCCUUACACCCGGGGCAACACACGUGUUACAAUGGCCGGUACAGAGGGCAGCCACGGGGUGACCCGGAGCGAAUCUCUAAAGCCGGUCGUAGUUCGGACUGGAGUCUGCAACCCGACUCCACGAAGUUGGAUUCGCUAGUAAUCGCGCAUCAGCCAUGGCGCGGUGAAUACGUUCCCG